AUUGAACGNNGNNNGCAGNNUUAANACAUGCAAGUCGAACGGUAACAUAAAGAAGCUUGCNUUUUUGAUGACGAGUGGCGNNCGGGUGAGUAAUGCUUGGGAAUCUANNNUAUGGAGGGGGAUAACUACGGGAAACUGUAGCUAAUACCGCGUAGAAUCGAGAGAUGAAAGUGUGGGACCUUCGGGCCACAUGCCAUAGGAUGAGCCCAAGUGGGAUUAGGUAGUUGGUGAGGUAAAGGCUCACCAAGCCGACGAUCUCUAGCUGGUCUGAGAGGAUGACCAGCCACACUGGGACUGAGACACGGCCCAGACUCCUACGGGAGGCAGCAGUGGGGAAUAUUGCGCAAUGGGGGCAACCCUGACGCAGCCAUGCCGCGUGAAUGAAGAAGGCCUUCGGGUUGUAAAGUUCUUUCGGUAGCGAGGAAGGCAUUUAGUUUAAUAGACUAGGUGAUUGACGUUAACUACAGAAGAAGCACCGGCUAACUCCGUGCCAGCAGCCGCGGUAAUACGGAGGGUGCGAGCGUUAAUCGGAAUAACUGGGCGUAAAGGGCACGCAGGCGGUGACUUAAGUGAGGUGUGAAAGCCCCGGGCUUAACCUGGGAAUUGCAUUUCAUACUGGGUCGCUAGAGUACUUUAGGGAGGGGUAGAAUUCCACGUGUAGCGGUGAAAUGCGUAGAGAUGUGGAGGAAUACCGAAGGCGAAGGCAGCCCCUUGGGAAUGUACUGACGCUCAUGUGCGAAAGCGUGGGGAGCAAACAGG
rnacentral:rRNA from 1 species